AGAAGAGAAAGUCCUUGAGCUCUAGCAAGGGAGGUUUUACGACCUUGUGUAGGAUGAGACAAGCUAGGUUAUUUAUUACAGGUUACAUUCCAACAUAAUCAUACGAUCAAGAUAGUUUG